GGGUUGUGAGGUUAAGCGACUAAGCGUACACGGUGGAUGCCCGGCAGUCAGAGGCGAUGAAGGACGUGCUAAUCUGCGAUAAGCGUCGGUAAGGUGAUAUGAACCGUUAUAACCGGCGAUUUCCGAAUGGGGAAACCCAGUGUGAUUCGUCACACUAUCAUUAACUGAAUCCAUAGGUUAAUGAGGCGAACCGGGGGAACUGAAACAUCUAAGUACCCCGAGGAAAAGAAAUCAACCGAGAUUCCCCCAGUAGCGGCGAGCGAACGGGGAGCAGCCCAGAGCCUGAAUCAGUGUGUGUGUUAGUGGAAGCGUCUGGAAAGGCGCGCGAUACAGGGUGACAGCCCCGUACACAAAAAUGCACAUGCUGUGAGCUCGAUGAGUAGGGCGGGACACGUGGUAUCCUGUCUGAAUAUGGGGGGACCAUCCUCCAAGGCUAAAUACUCCUGACUGACCGAUAGUGAACCAGUACCGUGAGGGAAAGGCGAAAAGAACCCCGGCGAGGGGAGUGAAAAAGAACCUGAAACCGUGUACGUACAAGCAGUGGGAGCACGCUUAGGCGUGUGACUGCGUACCUUUUGUAUAAUGGGUCAGCGACUUAUAUUCUGUAGCAAGGUUAACCGAAUAGGGGAGCCGAAGGGAAACCGAGUCUUAACUGGGCGUUAAGUUGCAGGGUAUAGACCCGAAACCCGGUGAUCUAGCCAUGGGCAGGUUGAAGGUUGGGUAACACUAACUGGAGGACCGAACCGACUAAUGUUGAAAAAUUAGCGGAUGACUUGUGGCUGGGGGUGAAAGGCCAAUCAAACCGGGAGAUAGCUGGUUCUCCCCGAAAGCUAUUUAGGUAGCGCCUCGUGAAUUCAUCUCCGGGGGUAGAGCACUGUUUCGGCAAGGGGGUCAUCCCGACUUACCAACCCGAUGCAAACUGCGAAUACCGGAGAAUGUUAUCACGGGAGACACACGGCGGGUGCUAACGUCCGUCGUGAAGAGGGAAACAACCCAGACCGCCAGCUAAGGUCCCAAAGUCAUGGUUAAGUGGGAAACGAUGUGGGAAGGCCCAGACAGCCAGGAUGUUGGCUUAGAAGCAGCCAUCAUUUAAAGAAAGCGUAAUAGCUCACUGGUCGAGUCGGCCUGCGCGGAAGAUGUAACGGGGCUAAACCAUGCACCGAAGCUGCGGCAGCGACGCUUAUGCGUUGUUGGGUAGGGGAGCGUUCUGUAAGCCUGCGAAGGUGUGCUGUGAGGCAUGCUGGAGGUAUCAGAAGUGCGAAUGCUGACAUAAGUAACGAUAAAGCGGGUGAAAAGCCCGCUCGCCGGAAGACCAAGGGUUCCUGUCCAACGUUAAUCGGGGCAGGGUGAGUCGACCCCUAAGGCGAGGCCGAAAGGCGUAGUCGAUGGGAAACAGGUUAAUAUUCCUGUACUUGGUGUUACUGCGAAGGGGGGACGGAGAAGGCUAUGUUGGCCGGGCGACGGUUGUCCCGGUUUAAGCGUGUAGGCUGGUUUUCCAGGCAAAUCCGGAAAAUCAAGGCUGAGGCGUGAUGACGAGGCACUACGGUGCUGAAGCAACAAAUGCCCUGCUUCCGGAAAAGCCUCUAAGCAUCAGGUAACAUCAAAUCGUACCCCAAACCGACACAGGUGGUCAGGUAGAGAAUACCAAGGCGCUUGAGAGAACUCGGGUGAAGGAACUAGGCAAAAUGGUGCCGUAACUUCGGGAGAAGGCACGCUGAUAUGUAGGUGAAGUCCCUCGCGGAUGGAGCUGAAAUCAGUCGAAGAUACCAGCUGGCUGCAACUGUUUAUUAAAAACACAGCACUGUGCAAACACGAAAGUGGACGUAUACGGUGUGACGCCUGCCCGGUGCCGGAAGGUUAAUUGAUGGGGUCAGCGCAAGCGAAGCUCUUGAUCGAAGCCCCGGUAAACGGCGGUACCGUAACUAUAACGGUCCUAAGGUAGCGAAAUUCCUUGUCGGGUAAGUUCCGACCUGCACGAAUGGCGUAAUGAUGGCCGUGGCUGUCUCCACCCGAGACUCAGUGAAAUUGAACUCGCUGUGAAGAUGCAGUGUACCCGCGGCAAGACGGAAAGACCCCGUGAACCUUUACUAUAGCUUGACACUGAACAUUGAGCCUUGAUGUGUAGGAUAGGUGGGAGGCUUUGAAGUGUGGACGCCAGUCUGCAUGGAGCCGACCUUGAAAUACCACCCUUUAAUGUUUGAUGUUCUAACGUGGACCCGUGAUCCGGGUUGCGGACAGUGUCUGGUGGGUAGUUUGACUGGGGCGGUCUCCUCCUAAAGAGUAACGGAGGAGCACGAAGGUUGGCUAAUCCUGGUCGGACAUCAGGAGGUUAGUGCAAUGGCAUAAGCCAGCUUGACUGCGAGCGUGACGGCGCGAGCAGGUGCGAAAGCAGGUCAUAGUGAUCCGGUGGUUCUGAAUGGAAGGGCCAUCGCUCAACGGAUAAAAGGUACUCCGGGGAUAACAGGCUGAUACCGCCCAAGAGUUCAUAUCGACGGCGGUGUUUGGCACCUCGAUGUCGGCUCAUCACAUCCUGGGGCUGAAGUAGGUCCCAAGGGUAUGGCUGUUCGCCAUUUAAAGUGGUACGCGAGCUGGGUUUAGAACGUCGUGAGACAGUUCGGUCCCUAUCUGCCGUGGGCGCUGGAGAACUGAGGGGGGCUGCUCCUAGUACGAGAGGACCGGAGUGGACGCAUCACUGGUGUUCGGGUUGUCAUGCCAAUGGCACUGCCCGGUAGCUAAAUGCGGAAGAGAUAAGUGCUGAAAGCAUCUAAGCACGAAACUUGCCCCGAGAUGAGUUCUCCCUGACUCCUUGAGAGUCCUGAAGGAACGUUGAAGACGACGACGUUGAUAGGCCGGGUGUGUAAGCGCAGCGAUGCGUUGAGCUAACCGGUACUAAUGAACCGUGAGGCUUAACCUUACAACGCCGAAG
rnacentral:rRNA from 1 species